rnacentral:rRNA from 1 species
GGGCCCGCACAAGCGGUGGAGUAUGUGGUUUAAUUCGAUGCAACGCGAAGAACCUUACCAGGGUUUGACAUCCUGCGAAUCUCUUGGAAACAGGAGAGUGCCUUCGGGAACGCAGUGACAGGUGGUGCAUGGCUGUCGUCAGCUCGUGUCGUGAGAUGUUGGGUUAAGUCCCGCAACGAGCGCAACCCACGUCUUUAGUUGCCAGCAUUUAGUUGGGAACUCUAAAGGAACUGCCGAUGAUAAGUCGGAGGAAGGUGGGGAUGACGUCAAGUCCUCAUGGCCCUUACAAGGUGGGCUACACACGUGCUACAAUGGUAGUGACAAUGGGCUAAUCCCAAAAAACUAUCUCAGUUCGGAUUGUCGUCUGCAACUCGACGGCAUGAAGUCGGAAUCGCUAGUAAUCG